AAUAUACCUUUUUACCAGCAAUAGAAAAAAAUGACCACUAAAGUUCUAAUUGAAAGCGAAUGUUUCAAAUUUGUCCCUCCAUUUUUUCCCACAUCAAUCUUCCCUCCAAUUAUUUUUUAGGUCUUCUCUGUAUAUCACGAAAUUAUUUCAGAAAUAGGCUCUGUAAAGGCUAUCUUCGUUCAUGCUGCCCAACGCAUCUCUGUGUCACCAUAAUUGGCCACCAUCCUAGGUAACAUCAUCAUCUCUCUAUUCUCUCUCACCCCUCUCUAUAUACCCAUUAUCAACAACGAGGGGUAGCCUAUCCACAAAGAAUUGAGACUUGAGAGGUAUUUCUUUCAAAAAGAACUUAAACCUUUUUUGCAGUCGCGAAGCCAUUGACUUCAGGUCCCUGAUGGAGAAUGAAAUAUGUGAACUGAUAUCUUAUGUGUGAUUUUACUAUCGGUAUAUUAAAUGCUAGUCAACUAUGGCGAUUGAAAUCUGACUACUCUUCUUUGCAUAGUGGUAUUGAAUAUAUCCGGCAUUUUUGCGUUCAUGUAUGUGAUUUGAUGAUUUGCUUUCAUGGUUAUUUUACUUCCCAUACUAAUGAUGUGGGAAGUGUAUUUUGCAAUUUAGGUGUUCGAUGAAAUGCUUUUGCAGAUUUCUAACUCUUGUCUUCCAUUUUUUAAUGUUGAUUUCAGACGAUUUGUUAAUCUUUGACCGUUUCAAAUAGUCUGAUAGUGAACAUUUGUCCAUUUCCAAGUGAUUCAAAUAAGAAGGAGUUGAUAGGAGCUAGAACAUUAGCUAAAAGUAUCUCUAAAGGUGUGACUAAAUCUCAGAUAUUGCCUGCUUUUCCUAUUCUAAUUGCCCACACUUUAUCUUCAUGUUGCACUGCUUUUGAGUCUUUUGGGUUAGUGUAUUUGAUAAAAAUUCCAAGUGAUUCCACAUUUUCAGUAGGUAAGAAUGCAAAUUAAUUAUGUUUCAUCAAUCUAAAAAGCAUAUUUAUGUUUUCCUUCUUGAUCUUCUUAUAGUGGGCUUUUGUCUUUUAUCUAACUAUUUAUUUACUUAUCUUACCUUUCUCAUCAUUUCUAGAGAAUACGAUGACAAUUCUUGGGGUUACCAGAAGUUGAGGUAAUAGGAACAACAAUGACAAGGAGGCAUUAGAUGCUAUUGAGAAUGGUAUUUCAAUGGGUAUCUAGUUUGAUUGAGGUUUUCUGUUUCAUUUUUAUUUAUUUGUUUUCCUAUUUAAAACUUCUUCGUCAUAUGGAGUGUAUAUGUGGAUUAGAAGAUUGUUAUGGUUCAAUUUAGCACUUAUCAUAUGAUGUAUAUGAUACUCUGAUAUCAAGAAUUUGACCUUACUUAGCAAUAGGAAAAAGAAUAAUACUGAGUGCUAAGGUUAUUUGCCUCUAGCAGCUCAACCAUUAAGUUAGUAGUUCUAUUCUUGUUUAUGCCAAGAAAUUAAUAAUUGUAUAUUCCUGUAAGGCAGAGAGUCCUUUGUCUUGGUUAUUUGCUACUUGUCAUUUAUCUCAAUUUUAUGAGCAAUAAUUUCAAGAGCAAUAAACAUAUAAAAGUUAAAACAUCUUGGUUGGUUUUGCAGAAUAGUAUUGCAUUACCCUAAUUGAGAAAUGUAAUAAAGCUUUUACCUGUAGCUCUAUACGGGCUUUAGUUAACUUUUGGCAUAAAUUAUAUUUUGAAUCUUUUCUAUAUCUUCUUCGGUCUCAUUUUUGUUUUUACUUUCUUCUUUUUGGUCCUGGUUCUAACUUGAAAGUAGUUGAGAAUCAAAUCUUUUUCUUUUUUAGUUCCAAUGCCAUUAGAAAUCUUACGAGCUUAAAUUAGCUCACUCUUUUACUGUGAUAGCCAAUUGCCUCGUGAGUUCCUAUCUAUCUUAUUUAAACGGCUAGAAGCUCUCUCGGAUUCUAGGGAAGUUUUUGAAAAUAAUAUCUUGGAAAAUAUACAUGUUCUGUAUAUAAAUUAUAAUUUUCUUGUGUCACGUUUUCUGGGGUUGUGCUGCUACUAGUAGGAUAUUUAUGCAAGAAAAAGUAUUAAUAUACUCAAAUUAUUCAUUUUUUAUUUUUACUUGACCUUCAACAUUGUCCAGCCAAUAAUUUCACUAAAGAAGGGAUGCACAUCAAUUGAAGUAUGGUAAAAGAGGGAAGCCCAGAUUCUGUCCCCUCAUGGUAAAGCAUUUCAUGGAUCUCUUGUUCUUUUCACUCCUUAAGAAAAUUCUCAAAAUAAAUGGUAUCGUAUUUGGAAUAUAUAUCCAUAGAAUUAAUUGAAAAACUUGGCAUUUUCAUUGGGAAGAAGAUACAAUCAAUAUUCUUGGCAUUUUCCCAUUCAUAGUUUAUUGAAUCAAAUUUCUUGACAAAUCUUUGUAAACAUUGUACAUUAGCCAUUUAGACGUAGGACUCUACUUGUCCUUCUUUUUCUUCUACCAGUUCUAAGUUCCCUUUUGCUAGAAGUGCACUUUACAAGGAAUUGAUAAAAAUAUAAAUUCUAUACAUGUUGUCCUUGUUCCUGUAUAGGUUUUAAUAUAUUCAAAGAUAAAUGUGUUCUUUUUUGCUGUUGUUACUACAUGCAUAAAAGGACUAAAAUUUCUUUUUUGAAUUGUUAAUUGCUUUAUGACUAUUUUGUCUAUGUAGAUAUGGGCAUCAUUUGUGAUUUUCUUGCUUCUAAAUUUUGUUGGCGAGUCAUGUUUUAGCUGUGGUGAAAUCUAUUCUUAGAAGCUGUUUAGUUCUUCCUUUUUAGUCAUAAUCCAAUUCAGUCAGAGUAUAGUUCUCAAUUUUUCAUAUAAUCUGAAUCAUUUGACCCAUUUCAGAGGAGGAAGCAUUGUUCUGAGCAUCCUAAAAUUCAUAAAACUUUCUUACUCGAUGUAUAAACUGAUUUAGGUGUUGCAGUUGCUGAAAGUUUCAUUGCUCUCCAAGACUCUUUUGGGAAAUAUGAUAUUCUAAAGCUGGGGAAAACUCACGCACAAAGUGAGACAAGAAGGCCAUGUCUCAAAACUCAAAUAGCAUAAAGAAGGUUUUGUUCAGAAAUUUGGCUGUGGAAGAUUUCAAUGUCCUUGAGAGAGAAAGAAUUUUAUUGGUGCCACUUAUUGUCUAAUAUUUCAAUUAUUUGAUAACAGUUAUUAGAUGCACAAUUACACUAGUAUUGGAUUCAUAGUUUACUUUGUAUUUUUAUUUUGUUAUUGAUAUAAUUGAUAUUAUGGAUUAUAUGUUGUUU
rnacentral:lncRNA from 1 species